rnacentral:rRNA from 1 species
UUUAGCGGUUAUGGAUGGGGAUGCGUCUGAUUAGCUUGUUGGCGGGUAACGGCCCACCAAGGCGACGAUCAGUAGGGGUCUGAGAGGAAGGUCCCCCACAUUGGAACUGAGACACGGUCCAAACUCCUACGGGAGGCAGCAGUGAGGAAUAUUGGUCAAUGGGCGAGAGCCUGAACCAGCCAAGUAGCGUGCAGGACGACGGCCCUAUGGGUUGUAAACUGCUUUUAUGUGGGGAUAAAGUGCGUGACGUGUCAUGCAUUGCAGGUACCACAUGAAUAAGGACCGGCUAAUUCCGUGCCAGCAGCCGCGGUAAU